rnacentral:rRNA from 1 species
AACUUUCAACAACGGAUCUCUUGGCUCUCGCAUCGAUGAAGAACGCAGCGAAAUGCGAUAAGUAAUGUGAAUUGCAGAAUUCAGUGAAUCAUCGAAUCUUUGAACGCACCUUGCGCUCCUUGGUAUUCCGAGGAGCAUGCCUGUUUGAGUGUCAUAA